AACGAACGCUGGCGGCAUGCCUAAUACAUGCAAGUCGAACGAGACCUUCGGGUCUAGUGGCGCACGGGUGCGUAACGCGUGGGAAUCUGCCCUUGGGUUCGGAAUAACAGUUGGAAACGACUGCUAAUACCGGAUGAUGACGAGAGUCCAAAGAUUUAUCGCCCAGGGAUGAGCCCGCGUAGGAUUAGCUAGUUGGUGAG
rnacentral:rRNA from 1 species